rnacentral:rRNA from 1 species
UACGUAGGGUGCGAGCGUUGUCCGGAAUUAUUGGGCGUAAAGGGCUCGUAGGCGGCCAACUAAGUCGGAUGUGAAAUCCCCAGGCUUAACCUGGGAACUGCAUCCGAUACUGGAUGGCUUGAAUUCGGGAGAGGGAUGCAGAAUUCCAGGUGUAGCGGUGAAAUGCGUAGAUAUCUGGAGGAAUACCGGUGGCGAAGGCGGCAUCCUGGACCGAGAUUGACGCUGAUGAGCGAAAGCUAGGGGAGCAAACGGGG